rnacentral:rRNA from 1 species
CCUACGGGUGGCAGCAGUAGGGAAUUUUGGGCAAUGGGCGAAAGCCUGACGCAGCAACGCCGCGUGAUCGAGACGCCUUUGGGGGUGUAAAGAUCUGUCAGUGGGGAGGAAACUGUACGGUACCUACAGAGGAAGCACCGUCUAAUUCCGGGCAAGAAGCCGCGGUAAUACGGGGGGGGCAAGCGUUGUCCGGAUUCAUUGGGCGUAAGGGGUUCGUAGGCGGCACGUAAAGUCAGGUGUGAAAGGCAGAGGCUCAACUUCUGUAGGGCAGGGGAAACUUGCGAGCUAGAGUGCGGUAGAGGUAGGGGGAAUGCCUGGUGUAGCGGUGAAAUGCUUAGAUAUCAGGAGGAACCUCGAUGGCGUAGGCGCUUUGCUAGGCCGUGAUUGACGCUGAGGAACGAAAGCCAGGGUAGCAAAUGGGAUUAGAUACCCGAGUAGUC